UCCACGUUGUUACCUGCACUGGGCCCUCCCUCCCACACUCAGAAACAUCAGUACAGGCAGUGGCAUUCGCUUAGGCCUCUGGCAACUUCAUCCUUGCUUGUCUGAUUAAGAACUCUCCUUUAUUGAAGGGCACAAAGUGAUUCUCUACAACCCUGGAUUAAUGACUGCCACAACCAUCAGCAUGGCAGCAUGUUUCAGUGCUCCAACACAUCCAAGGAUAGAAAUGAACCUCCUAGAAUAUCAUGUCUUGCUCUCCCAGCUGGACAACACUCAACAGGAGCUUGAAGAUCUCAAAGAGAAGCUUCUUCCAUCUAAGCCUACUGCCUAUGCCCUGGACAAGCAGCUACAAAAACAUUAACGUGAGCUGUGCAAAGUCAUCAUGCAGCCUGUGCUAGGGGAGAACAUCCAAUGUGAGGAGGAGCAGCUGGCAGAGAGCCCAGCUGUCACCAAGAGGCUGAGGGAACUCAAUAUCUUACUCCAAACUCACACAAGACAACUGAGGCAAUGAAAGCAGAAGCCACAGGAACAGAGAGAUGCCUCCAUCUUACUCCAUCAGCAUCUCAAAGAUCUGCUCACACGGGACAGCCCUGAGAGCUGCCUGAACCAGGGCCUCUGGGAUCAACUUUCUCAGGGACAUCAUCUGGCAGAGCACCGUGCCCACAAGCUCAGCCAAGAUUUUCAUGACCAUCCAAAAGAGCAAGAACAACGAUCCCUGGCAUUUCUGGCCCUUAGUGUCAACAGUGAGCAACCUGAGAGGCAAGUGAAUGGAGUCCUAUUAGAUUCAUCAGCUAAAAGAUUCCUCGCAACCUGCAGGGUGAUGCUCAUGAUGCUCACACACUAGCAGCCACGAGUGUCGUGUCUUUGACCACCUGAUAAUGAAAGGAAAGCUGCAAUCAAGAAAAGUGGGUACGAUCAUGCAGAAUCCCAGGCUUCCAAUCUAGGAUGCAGAGAAUUUCAACCAUAACCAAAACUUCCUACAGCUGUGGAAACCCCUGCUCUUCCAAAUUUAACUUUAUUAAUGAAAAUUAUCUGCUGCCUGAUAACAGCUCUCCUUUCAAGCAAUUUGACCUUGACCAAAAUUUUCUACAACCAUCCUAAAGGACACUCUUUCCAACCAUUUAAAUGUUAAACAAAACCAUAUUGUGUGACAAAGAACAGCUCUCCAUUCAACAAUUUCAAGGUUCACCAAUUUUUCCAACAGUUAUAAAAUCUUCUCUUCUUUGCAGAAAUUUCCUGUAAACCCAAUUUGUCUUCUGCUGCAAAAACAACUCUCCUUUCUAGUUGUCUUAUCUAACCAAAAUGAUCCUCAGCUUUCAAAAGAACACUGCUUUCCAAUGUUUUAACGCUGAUCAAAAUUUAUUGUGUGACAAAAACAACUCUCCAUUCUAGAAUUUCAAUCUUCAACAAUUUCCGACAGCUAUCAAAACUGCUUUCCAGAAUCUAAACAUGACCCCAACUUCUUUUCAAGGUUAGAAUUUGCCAUUCUCAA